UCCUACGGGGGGCAGCAGUGAGGAAUAUUGGUCAAUGGGAGAGAUCCUGAACCAGCCAAGCCGCGUGAGGGAAGACGGCCCUAUGGGUUGUAAACCUCUUUUGUCGGAGAACAAAACCCGGGACGUGUCCCGGACUGCGUGUAUCCGAAGAAAAAGCAUCGGCUAACUCCGUGCCAGCAGCCGCGGUAAUACGGAGGAUGCGAGCGUUAUCCGGAUUUAUUGGGUUUAAAGGGUGCGUAGGCGGUUUGAUAAGUUAGAGGUGAAAUAC
rnacentral:rRNA from 1 species